rnacentral:miRNA from 1 species
ACCACCUGUGAAUCUUGUUAAAAUGUGGAUUCCUAUUCAGAAAGUCUAAGCUGGCCCUGAAAAUCUGCAUUUCUAACAAGUUCCUAGGUGAU